AUUGAACGCUGGCGGCAUGCCUUACACAUGCAAGUCGAACGGCAGCGCGGGAGCAAUCCUGGCGGCGAGUGGCGAACGGGUGAGUAAUACAUCGGAACGUGCCCAAUCGUGGGGGAUAACGCAGCGAAAGCUGUGCUAAUACCGCAUACGAUCUACGGAUGAAAGCAGGGGAUCGCAAGACCUUGCGCGAAUGGAGCGGCCGAUGGCAGAUUAGGUAGUUGGUGAGGUAAAGGCUCACCAAGCCUUCGAUCUGUAGCUGGUCUGAGAGGACGACCAGCCACACUGGAACUGAGACACGGCCCAGACUCCUACGGGAGGCAGCAGUGGGGAAUUUUGGACAAUGGGCGAAAGCCUGAUCCAGCCAUGCCGCGUGCAGGAUGAAGGCCUUCGGGUUGUAAACUGCUUUUGUACGGAACGAAACGGUCUUUUCUAAUAAAGAAGGCUAAUGACGGUACCGUAAGAAUAAGCACCGGCUAACUACGUG
rnacentral:rRNA from 1 species